rnacentral:rRNA from 1 species
UAGUCAUAUGCUUGUCUCAAAGACUAAGCCAUGCAAGUCUAAGGAUAAAUAUUUUAUUCGUAAACCUGCAAACAGCUCAUUAAAUCAGUAACAUUCUACUUGAUCGUACAAUCUUAAUUGGAUAACUGUAGUAAUUCUAGAGCUAAUACAUGCAAAAGGGCAUUAUUGUGGAAACAUGAUAAUGUUGUAUUUAUUAGGAACAAAAUCAAUACAAGCCAUUAACUUCAGCUUAUUUCGAUUUGUUGGAGGGUUUGUAUUAAAGGCGAAAUGUGACAACUUUACGAAUCACCAGGAAACUGUGUGAUGCUGCAAACGAGUUUCUGCCCUAUCAACUUUCGAUGGUAAUGUAUUUGAUUACCAUGGUUAUGACGGGUAACGGAGAAUUUGGGUUUGAUUCCGGAGAGAAAGCCUGAGAGACGGCUAUCACUUCUAAGGAAGGCAGCAGGCGCGUAAAUUGCCCAAUCUUAAUUCGAGGAGGCAGUGACAAGAAAUACCGAUAUUGGUCCUUUAAGGAACAAUGAUUGGAAUGAGAACAACGUAAAGACAUUAACGAGUAACAAUU